UCAAGCUACAGUUCUUUUCGAAUUUGUCUAGCAGGCUGUCUAGUUUUUUGCCAGAAAGCCCCC
ensembl:snRNA U7 U7 small nuclear RNA